UACGUAGGUGACAAGCGUUGUCCGGAUUUACUGGGCGUAAAGAGCGCGCAGGCGGUCGUUCAAGUCGAGUGUGAAAGCCCCCGGCUCAACUGGGGAGGGUCACUCGAUACUGAUCGACUCGAAGGCAGGAGAGGGUAGUGGAAUUCCCGGUGUAGUGGUGAAAUGCGUAGAUAUCGGGAGGAAUACCAGUGGCGAAGGCGGCUGCCUGGCCUGUUCUUGACGCUGAGGCGCGAAAGCUAGGGGAGCAAACGGG
rnacentral:rRNA from 1 species